rnacentral:rRNA from 1 species
UACGGGGGGGUGCGAGCGUUGUCCGGAAUCACUGGGCGUAAAGGGCGCGUAGGUGGCGUGAUAAGGGUGUGGUGAAAAGCCCCGGGGGCUCAACCCCCGGGGUCUGCCAUGCCGACUGUCAGGCUAGAGUACUGUAGGGGCAGGCGGAAUUCCGGGUGUAGCGGUGGAAUGCGUAGAGAUCCGGAGGAAGACCGGUGGCGAAGGCGGCCUGCUGGGCAGUUACUGACACUGAGGCGCGACAGCGUGGGGAGCAAACAGG